rnacentral:rRNA from 1 species
GACGAACGCUGGCGGCGCGCCUAACACAUGCAAGUCGAGCGAUGAAAGUUGUUCAGAUCCUUCGGGUGACGAACUUCCGGAUUAGCGGCGAACGGGUGAGUAACGCGUGAGGAACCUGCCUCUCACAACGGGAUAGCCUCGGGAAACCGGGAUUAAUACCGUAUGACACUAUCAGAUGGCAUCAUCAGGUAGUUAAAGUGCUAGCGGUGAGAGAUGGCCUCGCGUCUGAUUAGUUAGUUGGUGGGGUAACGGCCUACCAAGACGACGAUCAGUAACCGGCCUGAGAGGGUGAACGGUCACAUUGGAACUGAGACACGGUCCAAACUCCUACGGGAGGCAGCAGUGGGGAAUCUUGCACAAUGGGGGAAACCCUGAUGCAGCGACGCCGCGUGAGCGAUGAAGGUUUUCGAAUCGUAAAGCUCUGUCCUAUGGGAAGAUAAUGACGGUACCAUAGGAGGAAGCCCCGGCUAACUACGUG